rnacentral:rRNA from 1 species
UAAUACAUAGGCUCCAAGCGUUGUUCGGAAUUACUGGGCGUAAAGCGAGUGUAGGCUGUCCGCCAAGUCGAUUGUGAAAUCUCCCGGCUCAACUGGGAGGGUGCGGUCGAAACUGGCGGACUAGAGUUCGGGAGAGGAGAGUGGAAUUCCUGGUGUAGCGGUGAAAUGCGUAGAUAUCAGGAGGAACACCGGCGGUGAAGACGGCUCUCUGGACCGAUACUGACGCUGAGACUCGAAAGCGUGGGGAGCAAACAGGAUUAGAUACCCUGGUAGUCCACGCCCUAAACGAUGCGUACUUGGUGUAGGUGCUUCAUUGCAUCUGUGCCGAAGUUAACACGAUAAGUACGCCGCCUGGGGAGUACGGUCGCAAGGCUG